GCAAGUCGAACGAACCCUUCGGGGUGAGGGGCGCACGGGUGCGUAACGCGUGGGAACCCGCCUUUAGGUUCGGAAUAACAGUUAGAAAUGACUGCUAAUACCGGAUAAUGUCUUCGGACCAAAGAUCUAUCGCCUUUAGAGGGGCCCGCGUUGGAUUAGCUAGUUGGUAGGGUAAAGGCCUACCAAGGCGACGAUCUAUAGCUGGUCUGAGAGGAUGAUC
rnacentral:rRNA from 1 species